AGUGAACGCUGGCGGUGGGCCUAACACAUGCAAGUCGAACGGCAGCACAGUAAGAGCUUGCUCUUACGGGUGGCGAGUGGCGGACGGGUGAGGAAUACAUCGGAAUCUACUUUUUCGUGGGGAUUACGUAAGGAAACGUUAGCCAAUAACCGCUACGCCCUACGGGUGGAAGCAGGUGGACCUUGGACCCUGCGCGGGUUGAAGUGGCGAUGUCGGAUUUGCUAGGUGGGGGGGUAAAGGCCCACCAAGGCGACGAUCCGUAGGUGGUCUGAGGGGAUGAUCAGCCACACUGGAACUGAGACACGGUCCAGACUCCUACGGGAGGCAGCAGUGGGGAAUAUUGGACAAUGGGCGCAAGCCUGAUCCAGCCAUACCGCGUGUGUGAAGAAGGCCUUCGGGUUGUAAAGCCCUUUUGUUGGGAAAGAAAAGCAGCAGGUUAAUACCACGCUGUUCUGACGGUACCCAAAGAAUAAGCACCGGCUAACUUCGUG
rnacentral:rRNA from 1 species